UGGGGAAUUUUGGACAAUGGGCGAAAGCCUGAUCCAGCCAUGCCGCGUGAGUGAAGAAGGCCUUCGGGUUGUAAAGCUCUUUUAGACGGAAAGAAAGAGUCGCAAUGAAUAAUUGUGAUUUAUGACGGUACCGACAGAAAAAGCACCGGCUAACUACGUGCCAGCAGCCGCGGUAAUACGUAGGGUGCGAGCGUUAAUCGGAAUUACUGGGCGUAAAGGGGGCGCAGGCGGUUUUGCAAGUCAGAUGGGAAAGCCCCGGGCUUAACCUGGGAAUUGCGUUUGAAACUACAAGGCUAGAGUGCAGCAGAGGGGAGUGGAAUUCCAUGUGUAGCAGUGAAAUGCGUAGAGAUGUGGAAGAACACCGAUGGGGAAGGCAGCUCCCUGGGCUGACACUGACGCUCAUGCACGAAAGCGUGGGGAGCAAACA
rnacentral:rRNA from 1 species